AGGUGCGAUCAUACCAGCACUAAUGCACCUAAUCUCAUCAGAACUCCACAGAUAAGUGUGCUUGGGUGAGAGUACUACUAGGAUGGAUGAGCUCAUGGGAAGUCCUUGUGUUGGACCUC
rfam:Lupinus angustifolius cultivar Tanjil contig_1779, whole genome shotgun sequence.